rnacentral:rRNA from 1 species
CAGUAGCCGCGGUAAUACGUAGGGUGCGAGCGUUAAUCGGAAUUACUGGGCGUAAAGCGUGCGCAGGCGGUUCGUUAAGACAGAUGUGAAAUCCCCGGGCUUAACCUGGGAACUGCAUUUGUGACUGGCGAGCUAGAGUAUGGCAGAGGGGGGUAGAAUUCCACGUGUAGCAGUGAAAUGCGUAGAGAUGUGGAGGAAUACCGAUGGCGAAGGCAGCCCCCUGGGCCAAUACUGACGCUCAUGCACGGAAGCGUGGGGAGCAAACAGGAUUAGAUACCCGCGUAGUCCCUGUCUCUUAUAC